UAGCGACGACUUAAGCGGCUGGAGAAGGGUGGAGUGGACAGGAAGAAACCAGACGGAUGUAGGCGGCGGCAUCUCAACCCGUUCCCCUUUUCUCCUUCCCUUCUAUUUCCUCUUCCGUUGCCACAAAUUGGCUUGUAUCCAGACUCAAUUGGCUAUAGAUCGAACUGAGAUAGUAACACAUUACAUCCAACUUUUUCUUUUGAGAAGCAUUAUGGGCCUGAUGAUCAGCUGCCACACACCUCAACGAUCAAAAGCCCACCGACUUAUUACAGUAGCCAGCCCACUCGUGUGGUCAGUCACGUGGCCGAGUGGCAGAGUUGCCGCUGGACACCUUCUUCCGUCCCGACGGCCGGCCGCAUCCAAUUUUCCUCGCCGCAGGGCCUGCCUCGCCGCCCGCUGCUGCCAGCGCACUCCGGCGUCUCGCAGCGGCGGUCACCAGACACCGACCCCAACACCGCCUCCCUCCUCUCUGCGCCCGCCCCAUCUCAUCCCCCCCACUCCACGCCCUCCCUUGCCGCCCGCGCUCGCUCGACUCCCUCCUCGCCGCGCCCUCCCACGCCUGCACUCCUCUUUUGCCCUCUCCCUCCCCGAAUGCCACCGCUUUCCGCGCCCCUCCGUGCCAAGCAAGCCUCUUUCGCGCCCCCACUCUUCCCCGCCCAGGCAACCGGACUCCCUCGCCGCGUUCAACUCCCCCCCUUGGCCGCGCUCGCCCGCGUCUGCCCGUGACCUCCCUGGCAUGACCCAGCUCUUUUCCUCCAUGCGGGACGCCGGCGUCCGGCCCGACGUCGUCACGUACGGCGUGCUAGCCAUCGGGCUCUGCCAAGCCGGCCGCGCUCAGGGCGCUCGACGGAAUGCCCGGCCCAAACUCUGGCGUUCGCCCGGCUCGGAUGUCGUCAUUCAUGCCGAACACGGUCGUGGAUGGGAUGCGCAAGAGCGGGAGGAUCCAGGCGGCCGUUGCGUUCGCGGAGGACUGCUGCUUGGCUGACGUUGCGGCAGACGGAUCCUGCUACGUGGGGAAUGUGACUGCUGCUUGGCUUUCCAGGCGGCGGAGAGGAUGGAGAAGGAGAGCUUUCCUCCAUUUUGUUCCAUGAGAUGGUGGAUGAAGGGCACUCAACAGAUGCAGUUAUGCAUUUUACCAUGAUAUUGUGAUUCUUUAGCAGGAGGAACAGGUUAAAACUCACAAGAGGCUUGGUGUACUUUACACCGUGUACACCUACAAUACUUUGUUGUCUGGUUAAGUAGGAGAUUUUCUCAACUCUGGGUGAGUUAUUGGGGAAGAUGAUGGAUGAUGGUUGCCUGCAAGUACACGGAUAUUGACCAAGUGGUCAGCUUGGUAAGCUAUCAAAAAAAAAGUACACGGAUAUUGCAAAGUUGGUCAAAUGAUGAGGCAUUGAGGAUUUUCCGGUCUAUGGAUGAAUCUGCAAAUGCAGGGAGUAGCAUACGAUGGAUGUAAUUUUCUGUUGCAUCAAAAAGCAAGUUAACUCGGCAUAUGCAGUAGCAACUACCAACCAUUCAUACUGGAGCAAAGGUCCAAGUAUAGAUUGGACAAGAAGCAGGGUGAUGCCCUUUUUUUCUGCCAACCCUGGAAGUGAGGAUGUCGAGUUGCAGGUCCAUAACAAAGAUGCAAGAAGUCCAUCUAAAGCAAUCACAUCUACAGGUCCAUCACACCAAACCGUCGGAAAUAUUCUAUAAAGUUCAAAUUUACCAUGCAUGUUGAGUGAACAGGUGCAGUAUUGGACAAACAUAAAUAUAGCUAGAGAAUGGUACACGUCUUAAAAGGAAAGGAGACCUCAUCAUCGUCAUCAGCGAGGAUCUUGGAGCAGUUGAAGCAGACGCAGCGCAUGAUGGAGAGCACGGUCUUGAUGAAGCCGAUGUGGAACAUGGGCUUUGCGAGCUCGAGGUGGCCGAAGUGGCCCGGGC